rnacentral:rRNA from 1 species
UUACGGUCAAAUCACGCUGGAAACACCGGUUCUCGUUCGAUCACCGAAGUUAAACAUCGUAGAGCCAGGUCAGUACUUAGAUGGGGGACCACUUGGGAACACCUGGUACUGUAAG